rnacentral:rRNA from 1 species
UGGGGAAUUUUGCGCAAUGGGGGAAACCCUGACGCAGCAACGCCGCGUGAGUGAUGAAGGCCUUCGGGUCGUAAAGCUCUGUCAGAGGGGAAGAAAUGCAGGGGUGCUAAUAUCAUCUUUGCUUGACGGUACCCUCAAAGGAAGCACCGGCUAACUCCGUGCCAGCAGCCGCGGUAAUACGGAGGGUGCGAGCGUUGUUCGGAAUUAUUGGGCGUAAAGCGCGUGUAGGCGGUUUGAUAAGUCUGAUGUGAAAGCCCCGGGCUCAACCUGGGAAGUGCAUUGGAAACUGUCAGACUUGAAUACGGGAGAGGGUAGUGGAAUUCCUAGUGUAGGAGUGAAAUCCGUAGAUAUUAGGUGGAACACCGGUGGCGAAGGCGGCUACCUGGACCGAUAUUGACGCUGAGACGCGAAAGCGUGG